rnacentral:lncRNA from 1 species
UCUUCCAUUGGCGGCCAUCUUGGGUGGGUCAGUCACCAUGACCUCCAUUGGCGGCCAUCUUGGGUGGGUUGGUUGCCCACCGUGACCUCUUCCAUCGGCGGCCAUCUUGGAGAUCUGAUUGGCCAUUGUAACCCCCUCCAUCGGCGGCCAUCUUGGAGUGCUGGUUGGCCAUCUUGGCCUCCAUUGGCGGCCAUCUUGGAGUGCUGGUUGCCCACCAUGACCUCUUUUCCAUCGGCAGCCAUCUUGGGUGGGUUCCCCACCAUGAUUUCUUUCAUCGGUGGCCAUCUUGGAGUGCUGGUUGGCCAUUGUAAUGUCUUCCAUUGGCAGCCAUCUUGGGUGGGUCGGUCACCAUGACCUCUUCCAUUGGCAGCCAUCUUGGAGUGCUGAUUGGCCAUUGUAACCACCUCCAUUGGUGGCCGUCUUGGAGAUCUGAUUGGCCAUUGUAACCACCUCCAUUGGCGGCCA